rnacentral:rRNA from 1 species
GACGAACGCUGGCGGCGUGCUUAACACAUGCAAGUCGAACGGAAAGGCCCUGCUUUUGUGGGGUGCUCGAGUGGCGAACGGGUGAGUAACACGUGAGUAACCUGCCCUUGACUUUGGGAUAACUUCAGGAAACUGGGGCUAAUACCGGAUAGGAGCUCCUGCUGCAUGGUGGGGGUUGGAAAGUUUCGGCGGUUGGGGAUGGACUCGCGGCUUAUCAGCUUGUUGGUGGGGUAGUGGCUUACCAAGGCUUUGACGGGUAGCCGGCCUGAGAGGGUGACCGGCAACAGUGGGAAUGAGAGACGACGGGGAGGCGGAGGGGGGGAAGAAGGGGGGAGGGGGGAAGAAGGGGGGCGAGUCGGAAGCAGCAGGGGCGGGUGGGGAAGGAAGGGUGGCGGGGGUGAAAAAGCAAGCGCCUGGAAAGAAGGGGAAGGGAGGGGAAUGGAUAAAGAAGAACAGGAUAGAUCAGGG